GGGUGGGGGGUCCUAGAAGUCAUCUGUCUUAGGAAUGUCAUCUUGGCAACACUGUUCUGUCUGUACUAGUCGGGGAAGAAUAAAGGCAGAAGGCCCAUCACACACACUUUAGAUAGAGACAUCUUCUGAGGGAGGUUAGGAGAGGAUGGUCUCUCCUGAAGAGCUUUGCCUCGAGCCCUGAGUGCGUUCUCUCAAGAGUAGAACAUGGAUAUUUCCUCAGAACGUCAGGGCAUUUUAGUGUCAUCUGGAUAGUACAUAAAAGCUAUCCGCUGUAAUGAAAAUUACACCAGCUUGGAAUCUGAAGACUUAGGUUUGAGAUCUGCCUCUUGCACAUCCUAGCUACAGCUAAAUUGCCUUCUUCACAGCAUAGUAAUGAGGGGCGAAUGAGAAACGUUAUGACGACACUUUGUACACCGUAAAGUUGUGCAAAUAUUAGUUAGUUUGCUGUGGUUACCUAGCAAUACUCAGGGAUUAUCCUUGUCUAGGUUCCAGUUAAGUAGCCAGGGUUGAUGUACCUGAAGGCUUAGCAGGUUCAAUUACAACUGAAGGGUGAAAUUAGAUGAUAAAGGCUCUUACACGGGUUUCAUUUUGAGGACCUGGCACAACACUACAGGUGAACCAUGUACAAUCUUCCUGAACAGUUGCUUUGGGUGGGAACUGCUAAUUCCUUCUCUCCAGGGAUUGGGUGGGAAGGAUUGUAUUUUAUACCAGGGGAUUAUAUUUAAUCCUCUCCCCCUCCCCCUAGCAUUUUGUCUUGGGUGUUCCUGAAGGCUUGGCGAGGAGAAGAUGGUUCCUUCUCCUCCCACGGGCUCAGCCACAGGUGCUUCUAAAGAGUCUCUCCUCCUCAGUGAUCUUUCCGGCCUCUGUCUUCCAAACCUGGUCCCAGUGCCUUGCCUGGCUCAGUGGCUGACCCUUUACUUUGAUUUCAGUUUCUUCUCUCCAUCUCUCCCUUGGAUGUGCUGCUUCAGACCCGGCCCUCCUUCCCACGGCCCUCUCCCCUCACAUUUUCAUCGCCUCAGAGAGGAGAUUUCCCAUGACCACUUGUGCCUAACGGCCAGUCUCAAGCCUUCAGAUCCUCCUAGGCAACUCAUCUUGACCUCAACGAUCACUUCCUGACUUGCUGGGCUGCAUCAACCUUCUGGCCUUGCCUCCAUUUGAUCCCUUUGGCCUCUGCUGAACCUUGGGACUUAAGGCCCCCAGCUCAGGGCUCCUCUCACCACUGCCAAUGACCUGUUUGUUCCCAGCUCCCCGGGACUGGUCUGCUUAUCAUGUCUCUAAUCCCUGUGGUUGGAGCUGUGAAGAAAAAGCUUCUGGGCAAGAUGCCACUAGCAAGCCUGUCUCCCUAGGAACAGACCCCUUUUCUCUCUAGUCGUUCAGAAACCUACCCCUCCUCUCACAGCUGUGUGAAAAGAAGCCAAAUGCCCAUUCUUAAUGUGUGACGACUGAGGCUCACAUGCAGACUGCUGUUAUCUCAGCAGGAGAGCAAUUUGCAACCAUUUAAAACCCGUUCUCUCUUCCCCUCUCCUCAGUGUAUGCUUACACACACCCUAGUCCAUAUUUAUUAGUGCAGAUGGUGAGAUGCUCGUCAUUGAAAGGCCUGAGAGCACAGAGCGAAAUGGAUUUUUGGCCUCACUCUGGCCUUAUAAACAAGAAGGCUUGAAUGAUUUUAGGUUCCUGAUUCUUGCCUCAAAAGAGCACAGUUUGCUUCUCUCCAAACACAAGAGGUUGUAAAUUGGUAAUUCAUCUCAACCAAAGGCCACAUGAUGAGCAAUUGUAGAAGCAUUUUUUUCCUUGUUGUGCAAAGGAGGAACCUGACAUCUGAGUGUGGGUUCCAGCUGGUACUUGCCUUCUACCAUUCGCAGCCUGAAGGCACCGUCAUGGCCAGCCCUGGGCUCCCCGACCUCCUCCUGCCUUUCACCUGCGUCCCACCAGGGCCAUUGCCAGGGGAGAAGUCAGCUCAGCAUUUCUACGUGACUCUUUCUUUCUUUUUUUUUCAGCUAAAAAAUAAAUCAGUUCUAAUAAAAACA
rnacentral:lncRNA from 1 species